CUGGGGAGGGUUUAACCCUCAUGAAUAGGAUUAAUGCCCUCAUAAGAGAGACCCCAGAGAAAUCCCUCACCCCUUCUGUCAUGUCAGGUUAUAGCAAGAAGACAGUAUCUGUGUACCAGCAAGAGAGGCCUCACUAGAAGAAAUGGAAUCUGCCAGCACCCUGGUGUUGGACUUCUCAGCCUCCAGAACUAAUGAAGUGUAAUAUAUCCCCAGACAUGACUGCCCAGUGCAGAGGAGAAUACGAAGUCCAAACGAUCCAGAGCGUCAGAAGGAUUUGACACACUAUUGUUGGCUUUGAAGAUGGAGAAGGUCAAGUGGAAGGACCAGAGAGCUGUCAUGAAGAGCUGAGAAUGCUUCCCAACUGAAGCCAGCAAGGAGAUGGGGGCAAGGAACUGAAUUCUACCAACAACGAGAAUGAGCUUGAAGGAGGACCCCUGAGCUGCUGGUGAGAAUGUAGCCAACCAACGCCUUGGUUUUAGUCUUGUGAGAUCCUAGCAGAAAAUGAGUCAUACCAUCUGAUAUGUUGCAGAUGUUUGUCCCCUCCGAAUCUCAUGUUGAAAUGUAGUCGCCAGUGUUGAAGGCGGGGCCUGGUGGGAGCUAAUUGUAACAUAGGAGUGGGUCCCUCAUGAACGGCUUAGCACCAUCUCCUUGGUGAUGAGUGAGGUCUUGCUCAGAGUUCAUGUGAGAUCUGGGGGUUUAAAGGCAUAUAGCGCCUCCCUGCUCACUCUCUUGUGCUCCUGCUCUUGCCACGUGGUGUGCAUGUUCUGUAUCACCUUCUGCCAUGAGUAAGUUUUCUGAGCCCUCACCAGAAGCAGCAUGCUUCCUGUACAGCCUGUGGAACCAUGAUCUAAUUAAAUCUUUUUUUUUUUUU